ACCUGAAAACUGAUUACAAAUAUGAAACAGAUUUCACUACUGGACUGAAGCUCCACAUAAAAAAGAAGAAGAUCCUCAAAAUAAUUGAAAAGGGUCCUCACCAAAGAAUAGAUGCAAUGUGACUGGCAGGAUAUGAAGGAGGUUGCAGUGCUCACAAGUGAAGAAUAUGGCGUCUAAAGGUGACCCUCCCCAUAAAGCUGGGACCCUAAAGAGCCACACUCUCAAUUAUCCCACACGGAGCUGUUGGAAUUACCUUAUGAUGAUUUCAAAGAACAUUUUCUUCUCUACACACUCUU